GACGAACGCUGGCGGCGUGCUUAACACAUGCAAGUCGAACGGAAAGGCCCUGCUUUUGUGGGGUGCUCGAGUGGCGAACGGGUGAGUAACACGUGAGUAACCUGCCCUUGACUUUGGGAUAACUUCAGGAAACUGGGACUAAUACCGGAUAGGAGCUCCUGCUGCAUGGUGGGGGUUGGAAAGUUUCGGCGGUUGGGGAUGGACUCGCGGCUUAUCAGCUUGUUGGUGGGGUAGUGGCUCACCAAGGCUUUGACGGGUAGCCGGCCUGAGAGGGUGACCGGCCACAUUGGGACUGAGAUACGGCCCAGACUCCUACGGGAGGCAGCAGUGGGGAAUAUUGCACAAUGGGCGGAAGCCUGAUGCAGCAACGCCGCGUGCGGGAUGACGGCCUUCGGGUUGUAAACCGCUUUCGCCUGUGACGAAGCGUGAGUGACGGUAAUGGGUAAAGAAGCACCGGCUAACUACGUG
rnacentral:rRNA from 1 species